rnacentral:lncRNA from 1 species
GUGGCUGAGGUGCAGCAUCUGGAGCUCUCCUGCCUUCACCAUGGUGUCACCCAAGUGCUCGGCUGUGUCCCAUGGGAAGGUGCAGCCGCUGGGCGGGCGGGAGCGGCGGCUGCGGAUGGACAACAGGACUGUGAGCAGCACAGGGCUCUUGCUAUUGAUGUCCCUCCUCUGGAAGACCCCAAACUGGGACAUUUUGGAUCCCUCCUCUGGAAGUACCAAACCAGGGCAUUUUGGGUCGGAUGCUGCCCUUUUCCGGCCGUUCCAGCAGGACUUUCCCACGCUGCCUCUCCGUUCAGCAGCUGACAAGGCAGACCUUGGAUGGUAA